AUCCAUCUGACGAGUCCUAAAUAGGACGAAACAUGCGACCUGGAU
rnacentral:hammerhead_ribozyme from 1 species